rnacentral:lncRNA from 1 species
ACACUGCACAAAAACGUGCUGCUGUCGACGCUGCAACCGCCGUCGUCUGUUCGUACACUGCUACGUCGCGUCUGCUGUAUGUUUUUUUGACGUGAUGGUGACGCGACGUGUGGUUUGACGGCUGUGUGAACGAGAACGUUUUUGUGCAGUGUUGACAGACUGUUUUCAUGUUCGGUUAAACGCGGAGAAAUAAGAUCAUCAUUUUUCAGGAAAUGAAUUAAAACAACCUUUGUCAGUAUAAUGUUAACGUAAACCAAAAAUGAACGGUUUAAUAGUGCAUUAUGAACGCAAUGUGGAUGUUAUCGUAUAGCAAGAAAUUGAGCGGUGUUAAUCACUGCAACUGGCAACACUGGCCACUCUAGAAAUGGCGAGCCACAGCAACAACUCAUCUGCUGUCGUGAUGCUUGGCGGUUGUAUGCUGAUGUUUUUGCUAUGCAAGCGAGGAAAGCAACGAGCGCGCAAAGCGCGGCGACCGAGAAGCACCUGGGUCCGCAACAUGUGCAGACAUCGCAAGUUCGGCCACUCAUCUUUGCUCAUUCCUUUGCUGCACCGGUCCGACCCUGAAUACUACUUCGAGUAAGUACACGGCAUGGUACGUUCGUGUAGAAUAGUACUUCCUAAUUUUUGGUGUUAUUACUCACUUAUCAUAGCUGCUUCGGACGCAACUCGUACGUUGUCAUUUUGUUUACUGUGGCCACAGUGCGCGCAGUUCGUGGUAGCCGAGCAACGCCCGAGGCUAGACGCACCUGUUGUGUUAGAGCGUAAUAAAUUAUGAUUUCUCGUUCUUUUCAAGAUAUUCAUUACUGCAGUACUGUGAAUGGGCUAGCGUUAGAAAAUAUGUUUUCUACAUAAGUACAAAUUUCCGCGCAGCUACAUGAGGAUGUUUCCGGCGAAGUUCGAGAAGUUGCUGUGUUUGGUUAGAAGUGGGAUCGAGCGACUGGACACCAACUGGAGAAUAGCAAUCCCGGCGCGGACACGACUCGAAAUAACGCUUAGGUUUCUUGCAAGUGGUGACACUCGGCGCUCGUCAUUUUCAUAUAUGAUUGGAAGAUCGACUUUCCGAUAUUACUUCAGAAACCACGCAGGUGAUUUGGGAAACCCUGAAAAAGAGAUAUGUUAAGUGCCCUACGAAACCCGAGGAGUGGCAUGAUAUUGCUGGAGGUUUUGAGCAGCGGUAGAAUUUUCCUAACUGUGUCGGCAGUAUUGAUGGCAAACUUGUCACAGUCGAAGCCCCAUGUAAUUCAGGAUCUGAGAACUUCAACUACAAAGGAAGCUUUAGCAAAAUUUUGAUGGCUGUGUGUGACUCUGCAUACAAAUUCCUCUACGUGGAAGUUGGUCGCUCUGGUGGAGAAAGCGACGGUGUCGUCUUCGGAAGGAGUACACUUUGCAAAGCCCUUGAGACGGGAAAGCUGGGUAUUCCUCAAUCCACUGCAAUUUCAGGAGGAAAUGUUGCCCCUUAUGUGAUUCUUGGGGAUGAAGCAUUUCCCUUGAAAGAAUACCUCAUGCGACCUUAUCCAAAGCGUUACAUAAAAACAGACAGUGAGAGAAUUUAUAAUUACCGUCAUGCUCGAGCAAGGCGUGUAAUUGAGAACGCGUUCGGCAUACUAACUAGUCGCUGGCGUAUUUUGAGAAGGAGGUUUAAGGCCACUGACGAGAAUGUCGACAGAUACGUACUUGCAUGUGUGGCACUGCAUAAUUUCCUGUUAACUGAAAAAGAGGAGAAAGAGAAAUACUGUCCUUCCAGGCUAGUGGACACCGAAUCUUGGACUGGUGAGGUAAUUGACGGCGAGUGGUGACAGGAUGGUAAAACAGUGCCAGUGUUUAGACAAGCGUCAAAGUUAGGCUCAAACAAACCUUCCCUCGCAGCGCAAGAAGUUCGUCAGACAUUUAAGAACUAUUUCAUGGGACUGGGCCAAGUUGAGUGGCAGUUGGAUUAUAUACACAGGAAUGCUCCAAGGCAAUGAGCACAUGCAGAGGAGUGGUAGCAUGCCCUACUAUAUGUAAAUAAACAUUCACUCGCAUUUAAACUUCUUUAAUUUCAAGCAAUGCCAUGUGACAUGCGUGCAUGAGCCUAUCUUGCUGCACAGGCGUCAAUUCCUUCGCUGACGCCGCCAUAAAAUCAAAAAAAGAGUUGCAUCGAUGCACGGGUUGUUUGUGCGCUGUGGCGCUGACAGCUUGCAUAAAGGCGCCCGUCACCUGCUUCAUGUCCUCCUCAUUAGCAUCUUUUGUGUUCUGCCUGCAAUAAAGAUUUCAUUUCACAUUCUUGAACAUUUCUAGUCACAGUUUCAAAUGUUUGAUUUGCGUGCAGUAAUUGUGAACAAAAUCCAUGCCAAAGGUUUCGUUUCAGUGCCCGUCUGGAUCACCUUCACUGUCAGAGACUAUUGAAAGUUGUUUUGAGACUUCAACCCAAAUGAAACAGUAUCAUCAA